ACUAAAACGCUGUUUUCUGACCAUUAGAAUUCUGUCAAAUCUUCCCCAAAGUCCAGGAAAUGGCAUUUCAGAGACUCUGAGUUUAAAAAUUUCCUUGGGCCUUCGGCGGCCCUCGCUUUCAGCCCCCGCCCCCAAUCGAAAAGAGCUUCCUACGGCCCUGAUAUAUGCUCCUGUCGCAGUGUGGAUUGGUGCAUUGUGUAGCCCAAUACAUGCAUUUGAAUUGUGUUACUGCAGAGCAGAUGCCUUAGCUUUUAUACCUAUACAAUUUAAAAGUUUUGAGAAAAAAAUCCUGCAUAGAUGAAUGAGUACAUAAAAAUAUUGAGCACCAAAAAUUCACACAACUUCCCCAUCAGAUAUCAAAUGGUCUACCCCUUACCACAUAUAUCCUAGGGGGCCAAUUUUGUAUAUUUUUGUGUUAUUUGCAUCUCCAAAACUCCUACUUUUCUCCUACUUUUCUACACAUUUUCCUACUUUAUUCCUACUUUUCCUAAAUUGCUAGUCCUACUUUUGUCCUACUUUUCUAUACAAGGAUGCCAGAAAGCCUGUAUAAACAUCACCCC